rnacentral:misc_RNA from 1 species
GAAACGCGAUAGUUAAUGUGAAUUGCAGAAUUCAGUGAAUCAUCGAGUCUUUGAACGCACAUUGCGCCCAUAGGUAUUCCUUUGGGCAUGUCUGUUUGAGCGUCAUUACAACCCUCAGCUAACCGCUGGUUUUGAACCUGAACGGGUGACACCGCGCCGGUUUUAAAGUUGGAAGCUCUGCUGGCCGCUCUGCCCAACCAGAACAUAGUAAGCACUACUUGUCCGGGUGAAGCUGAACGGUACGGCCUGAACAAAACCUACCCACUCUCAAGGUUUGACCUCAGAUCAGACAAGGAUACCCGCUGAACUUAAGC